rnacentral:lncRNA from 1 species
GCCUAGUGUCUUGGCAAUUAUGUUCACUGCAGUUUGUGUGAAAGAAGAAAAAAUCAUUAUCAAAUUAAAGAAAAGAAAAAGGAAAAAGAAAUCUAACAAUUAAAAAGAGAAAUUUUUGUUAAAAAUUUUCUAAAAAAAAUACUAAUUUUCUAAUUAUUGACAAAAGACUAAAAAUUACAUCUAAAAACCUAAUUUUAACUAAAAUUAAACAAAACUAAAGAAUUCAAGGAAAAACCUAAAUCUAGC